rnacentral:lncRNA from 1 species
AGUUGGAGUGAGGCAGGCACCGCUGGGCCUGGCUGGAGCUGGGUCACGUCUGUCCUGCUCUCUCGUGAGGUCACUGCAAGGGGACACUGUGCCCCCUCCAGGUGAGGCCCUGAUGGAGGCUGCCCAGAGGAACGACUUCUGUAAGCUGCAGGAGCUGCACCGAGCUGGAGGGGACCUCCUGCACCGUGACCCACGAGAGCCUGCACGCCUCCCUGCACUGACGCAGUCAGCGCAGGCAGCAAGGAAGUGGUCCGCUACCUGCUGGACCACGGUGAGCCCGCCAGCGCCUGAGGCCAGGCAUGGGGGGCAGGGCUGCCAGCCUCUGACCACCUCUUCCUCUGCAGCGCCUCCCGGAGAUCCUCGGCCGCGUGGAGGAGAAUGGGGAGACCUGUCUGCAUCAGGCGCAGCCCUGGGCCAGCGCACUAUCUGCCACUUCAUCGUGGAAGCAGGGGCGCCGCCUGAUGAAGACAGACCAGCAGGCGAGCAGCCUCUCCCAGGGGCAGGGGGCACUGGGCCACCCUUCGAGUUUGAAGCUGUCCUCAGCCAACACAGCCUAGACCCUGAGACCUGAGCCGGAAGGCUUCCAAAAAUCUUCGGGAUACCUGAUCGCAGCUUCCUCCGUUCCCAGGGUGACACCCGCCUGGCAGCGGCCGGCAGAAGGCGCAGGACACAGAGCUGGCCGCCACCUGGAGAAUCGACAGCACUACCAGAUGAUCCAACGCGAGGACCAGGAGACGGCCGUGUAGCCCCGGCCUCCGGCCACAUUCCAGUGCGGGCAGAGGGAGGGGGACCCUCCAAGGAAGGAGCUGCCUGAUGACGAGGCUGGACUCUGCGCAGCUGGGGCUGUCACCAGUCCCCCUGAGGCCCCCGCCUGCCCCCAGGGCUUACAGGGAGUAGGAACUCGGGACGGGCAGGGCGACUGCAGG